UAACAAGGUUUCCGUAGGUGAACCUGCGGAAGGAUCAUUAUUGAAUUACCGGGGGCUGGAUGCUGGCAGUCUAUGAUUGCAUGUGCUCGCUCUCUUUAAUCCACUUACACAUGUGCACUCAAUUUUGAAGACAGGGUAAAGCCUGUCUUUGAAACCUUAUAAACUCUUACUCGAUGUAAUGAAUGUUUUUAUCUGCCGAAAGGCAAAAUUUAAUACAACUUUUAACAACGGAUCUCUUGGCUCUCGCAUCGAUGAAGAACGCAGCGAAAUGCGAUAAGUAAUGUGAAUUGCAGAAUUCAGUGAAUCAUCGAAUCUUUGAACGCACCUUGCACUCUCUGGUAUUCCGGAGAGUACGCCUGUUCGAGUGUCAUGAAACUCUCAAGCAGAGAUAGCUUUGUUGCUGUUUUUGCUUGGAUUUGGACUUUGCUGUGUCAAUGCGGCUGGUCUUAAAUGUAUUAGCUGAUCCUUAUGUGGUUUGGUUCUACUCAGUGUGAUAAUUAUCUAACGUUGAGGACAGUCUUAGGACUGGCCAGAGCUUAUAUUUGGAUCGCUUCUAAUUGUCCUUUGGACAUAUUAUUCAAUUGUUUGACCUCGGAUCAGGUGGGAUUACCCGCUGAACUUAAGCAUAUCAAUAAGCGGAGGAAAAGAAACUAACAAGGAUUCCCCUAGUAACGGCGAGUGAAGCGGGAUGAGCUCAAAUUUAAAAUCUGGUAGUCUUUGGCUGCCCGAGUUGUAAUCUAGAGAA
rnacentral:misc_RNA from 1 species